rnacentral:rRNA from 1 species
CCUACGGGAGGCUGCAGUAGGGAAUCUUCCGCAAUGGACGAAAGUCUGACGGAGCAACACCGCGUGAGCGAAGAAGGUCUUCGGAUCGUAAAGCUCUGUUGUUAGGGAAGAACAAGUACGGGAGGAAAUGACCGUAACUUGACGGUACCUAACGAGGAAGCCACGGCUAACUACGUGCCAGCAGCCGCGGUAAUACGUAGGUGGCAAGCGUUGUCCGGAAUUAUUGGGCUUAAAGUGGGCGCAGGACGUCAUUUAAGUAAGAAGUGCAAUCUUGCGGCUCAACCGCAAGCGGUCAUUGGUAACUGGAAAACUUGCAUGAAGAAGAGGAAAGCGCAAUUCCACUUUUAACUGUUAAAUGCGAAGAGAUGAAGAAGAACACCAGUGGCGCAGGCGUCUUUCUGGAGUGUAACUGACGCUGAGGCGAGAAGGCGUGGAGAGCAAAAAAGAUUAGAUACAUCUUUAGUC